AACGAACGCUGGCGGCAUGCCUAACACAUGCAAGUCGAACGAGACCUUCGGGUCUAGUGGCGCACGGGUGCGUAACGCGUGGGAACCUGCCCUUAGGUUCGGAAUAACUCCCCGAAAGGGGUGCUAAUACCGGAUAAUGUCUUCGGACCAAAGAUUUAUCGCCUUUGGAUGGGCCCUCGUUGGAUUAGCUAGUUGGUAGGGUAAAAGCCUACCAAGGCGACGAUCCAUAGCUGGUCUGAGAGGAUGAUCAGCCACACUGGGACUGAGACACGGCCCAGACUCCUACGGGAGGCAGGAGUGGGGAAUAUUGGAAAAUGGGCUAAAGCCUGAUCCAGCAAGGCCGGGUGAGCGAUGAAGGCAUUAGGGUUGUAAAGCUCUUUUACCCGGGACGAUAAUGACAGUACCGGGAGAAUAAGCUCCGGCUAACUCCGUG
rnacentral:rRNA from 1 species